rnacentral:rRNA from 1 species
UGGAAGUAAAAAGUCGUAACAAGGUCUCCGUUGGUGAACCAGCGGAGGGAUCAUUACUGAGUACUACACUCUCUACCCUUUGUGAACUAUUAUACCUGUUGCUUCGGCGGCGCCCGCGAGGGCGCCCGCCGGUCCCAUCAGAAUCUCUGUUUUCGAACCCGACGAUACUUCUGAGUGUUCUUAGCGAACUGUCAAAACUUUUAACAACGGAUCUCUUGGCUCCAGCAUCGAUGAAGAACGCAGCGAAACGCGAUAUGUAAUGUGAAUUGCAGAAUUCAGUGAAUCAUCGAAUCUUUGAACGCACAUGGCGCCUUCCAGUAUCCUGGGAGGCAUGCCUGUCCGAGCGUCGUUUCAACCCUCGAGCCCCCCGUGGCCCGGCGUUGGGGAUCUGCCACGGCAGGCCCCUAAAACCAGUGGCGGACCCGCUGGGCCCUCUCCUUUGCGCAGUAGCAUCAGCCUCGCAUCGGGAGCCCUCGGCGUCCUGCCUCUAAACCCCCCACAAGCCCGCUCCGGCGGCACCAAGGUGACUCGAUAGAGUCAUCACGCCA